rnacentral:rRNA from 1 species
GGGGAAUAUUGCACAAUGGGGGAAACCCUGAUGCAGCGACGCCGCGUGAAGGAAGAAGGUCUUCGGAUUGUAAACUUCUUUUGUCAGGGACGAAGAAAGUGACGGUACCUGACGAAUAAGCUCCGGCUAACUACGUGCCAGCAGCCGCGGUAAUACGUAGGGAGCGAGCGUUGUCCGGAUUUACUGGGUGUAAAGGGUGCGUAGGCGGCCGAGCAAGUCAGUUGUGAAAACUAUGGGCUUAACCCAUAACGUGCAAUUGAAACUGUCCGGCUUGAGUGAAGUAGAGGUAGGCGGAAUUCCCGGUGUAGCGGUGAAAUGCGUAGAGAUCGGGAGGAACACCAGUGGCGAAGGCGGCCUACUGGGCUUUAACUGACGCUGAGGCACGAAAGCAUGGGUAGCAAACAGGAUUAGAUACCCUGGUAGUCCAUGCCGUAAACGAUGAUUACUAGGUGUGGGGGGACUGACCCCUUCCGUGCCGCAGUUAACACAAUAAGUAAUCCACCUGGGGAGUACGGCCGCAAGGUUGAAACUCAAAGGAAUUGACGGGGGCCCGCACAAGCAGUGGAGUAUGUGGUUUAAUUCGAAGCAACGCGAAGAACCUUACCAGGUCUUGACAUCCUGAGAAUCCUUAAGAGAUUAGGGAGUGCCUUCGGGAACUCAGAGACAGGUGGUGCAUGGUUGUCGUCAGCUCGUGUCGUGAGAUGUUGGGUUAAGUCCCGCAACGAGCGCAACCCUUGCUAUUAGUUGCUACGCAAGAGCACUCUAAUAGGACUGCCGUUGACAAAACGGAGGAAGGUGGGGACGACGUCAAAUCAUCAUGCCCCUUAUGACCUGGGCUACACACGUACUACAAUGGCCAUUAACAGAGGGAAGCAAAACCGCGAGGCAGAGCAAACCCCUAAAAAUGGUCCCAGUUCGGAUUGUAGGCUGCAACCCGCCUACAUGAAGUUGGAAUUGCUAGUAAUCGCGGAUCAGCAUGCCGCGGUGAAUACGUUCCCG